AAGUGGACAUUGACAAGUGCGACUUCGAGACUAAGUCUACGACCUACUUAGGGUUCAUCAUCGAAGCUGAAAGAGGCGUACGCAUGGAUCCCAAGAAGGUGGAAGCAAUCCUCAAUUGGGAGGCACCAGUCUCGGUAAAAGGGACUAGAAGCUUCCUAGGAUUCGCCAACUUCUACCGAAGGUUUAUCAAGGACUUCUCUGAUAUCGCACGACCACUAACGGACUUGACCCGAAAAGAUGCCGUAUUCCAAUGGACCAACGAAGCGAGCGCAGCGUUCAAGAAGCUGAAGCAUAUGUUCACGAGCGCUCCGAUGCUGCAAUCAUUCGACCC
rnacentral:sRNA from 2 species